AUCUAUGGCAAUACCACCCUGAAUGCACCCGAUCUCACCUGAUCUCGGGAAAAAAUCAUAUGUCCUUGUGUUUGCCCAUAGAUU
rnacentral:rRNA from 1 species